GGACUACGGGGGUUUCUAAUCCUGUUUGCUCCCCACGCUUUCGUGCAUGAGCAUCAGCGUUAGCCCAGGGGGCUGCCUUCGCCAUCGGUAUUCCUCCACAUCUCUACGCAUUUCACUGCUACACGUGGAAUUCUACCCCCCUCUGCCAUACUCUAGCUCGCCAGUCACCAAUGCAGUUCCCAGGUUAAGCCCGGGGAUUUCACAUCGGUCUUAGCGAACCGCCUGCGCACGCUUUACGCCCAGUAAUUCCGAUUAACGCUCGCACCCUACGUAUUACCGCGGCGGCUGGCAC
rnacentral:misc_RNA from 1 species